UAGCAAAACAGAAAAAUUCUCGCAGAAAAAUCCCUCGGGGAAAGAGAUCUACCCGCGUGGGAUACUUGCACAAUGUGCGCCCGUGCACACGCGCACAGUUGGCUCGGGAUGUGCGCACAGUGCGCACGUCCCAUCCACACAGGUGGCGCAGGGUCAAACCCUAUCGCGCACAGGCAAGCUGUUUGUGUGCCACUUUGUGCAGGGACAGGCACCGCACACUGUACGCAAGCCGUUUGCACAGUAGGCCUGCGCGGAUAGGCCCCUAUGCGCCUGGGGAACUGCGCAUGCAGUAGGAGGCUUGUGCGCCUGCAGGCUAGUCUACAGCGCGCCAAGCAAGCCACUGUCGCUCCGGGCAAUGCACUAGCGCACCUCGAGUGAUAUAUUGUCGCCGCCGGCAGAGGAGACUCUCCUCUUUCAUUUUU
rnacentral:lncRNA from 1 species